rnacentral:rRNA from 1 species
CGGGGGGAGUGGCGCACGGGUGCGUAACGCGUGGGAACCUGCCCUUAGGUUCGGAAUAACUCGGAGAAAUUUGAGCUAAUACCGGAUAAUGUCUUCGGACCAAAGAUUUAUCGCCUUUGGAUGGGCCCGCGUAGGAUUAGAUAGUUGGUGGGGUAAUGGCCUACCAAGUCGACGAUCCUUAGCUGGUCUGAGAGGAUGAUCAGCCACACUGGGACUGAGACACGGCCCAGACUCCUACGGGAGGCAGCAGUGGGGAAUAUUGGACAAUGGGCGCAAGCCUGAUCCAGCAAUGCCGCGUGAGUGAUGAAGGCCUUAGGGUUGUAAAGCUCUUUUACCAGGGAUGAUAAUGACAGUACCUGGAGAAUAAGCUCCGGCUAACUCCGUGCCAGCAGCCGCGGUAAUACGGAGGGAGCUAGCGUUGUUCGGAAUUACUGGGCGUAAAGCGCACGUAGGCGGCUUUUCAAGUCAGGGGUGAAAUCCCGGGGCUCAACCCCGGAACUGCCCUUGAAACUGGAUGGCUAGAAUACUGGAGAGGUGAGUGGAAUUCCGAGUGUAGAGGUG